GCCACCGUAGCUCAGUUGGUAGAGCAACUGAUUCGUAAUCAGUAGGUCAGCGGUUCAAAUCCGCUCGGUGGCU
rnacentral:tRNA from 1 species